rnacentral:rRNA from 1 species
GAUGAACGCUGGCGGCGUGCCUAAUACAUGCAAGUCGAGCGAACGGACGAGAAGCUUGCUUCUCUGAUGUUAGCGGCGGACGGGUGAGUAACACGUGGAUAACCUACCUAUAAGACUGGGAUAACUUCGGGAAACCGGAGCUAAUACCGGAUAAUAUUUUGAACCGCAUGGUUCAAAAGUGAAAGACGGUCUUGCUGUCACUUAUAGAUGGAUCCGCGCUGCAUUAGCUAGUUGGUAAGGUAACGGCUUACCAAGGCAACGAUGCAUAGCCGACCUGAGAGGCUGAUCGGCCACACUGGAACUGAGACACGGUCCAGACUCCUACGGGAGGCAGCAGUAGGGAAUCUUACGCAAUGGGCGAAAGCCUGACGGAGCAACGCCGCGUGAGUGAUGAAGGUCUUCGGAUCGUAAAACUCUGUUAUUAGGGAAGAACAUAUGUGUCAGUAACUGUGCACAUCUUGACGGUACCUAAUCAGAAAGCCACGGCUAACUACGUG